UACAGAGGGUGCAAACGUUGUUCGGAAUUACUGGGCGUAAAGCGUGUGUAGGCUGCCCUGCAAGUCGGGUGUGAAAGCCCCGGGCUCAACCUGGGAAGUGCACUCGAAACUGCGGGGCUGGAGUCCUGGAGAGGAAGGCGGAAUUCUCGGUGUAGAGGUGAAAUUCGUAGAUAUCGAGAGGAACACCGGUGGCGAAGGCGGCCUUCUGGACAGUGACUGACGCUGAGACACGAAAGCGUGGGGAGCAAACAGG
rnacentral:rRNA from 1 species